rnacentral:snRNA from 1 species
CUGGUAUGUAGAGAACAUUCU